rnacentral:lncRNA from 1 species
CCGUGUAUUGGACACAGUGAGAGUGAGAGGAAGAGAGAGAGGUUAGAGAGAGUAAGAGAGGUGGGGGGGUGUUCUCGGCCGGGUAAGGGCGGCGCCGGCGUCGCCGCCGGCGGCGGAGUGGGCCAUAGAGAGAGAGAGAGGUGGGGGCUUCUAGGGCUAGAGAGAGAAUGAGGGUGGGGAAACACCUCGGGCGACAAAGGGCGGCGGCGACGGCGUCGGCGUCUGAGAGAGAGAGAGAGCAAGAGGAAGAAGAGAGCGAGAGAGAGAGAGAGAGAGGGAGAGAGUUGGGGGGAAGAGGAAGACAG